rnacentral:rRNA from 1 species
UACGAAGGGUGCAAACGUUGCUCGGAAUCAUUGGGCGUAAAGCGCACGUAGGCGGCCUCAUAAGUCGGAUGUGAAAUCCCUCGGCUCAACCGAGGACGUGCAUCCGAAACUGUGAAGCUCGAGUAUGAAAGAGGGUCGCGGAAUUCCCGGUGUAGAGGUGAAAUUCGUAGAUAUCGGGAGGAACACCAGUGGCGAAGGCGGCGACCUGGGCCAAUACUGACGCUGAGGUGCGAAAGCGUGGGGAGCAAACAGG